UGCUGAACCGGUCUUCCCAUCUCAGUUCCCACAGCUCUACCCUGCUGCCAAGUGGUACUUGUGUAGUGGUAACCUGGUUAGUGUGACAGUCCCGCUGUCUCUAAGACACACUGCCAACUGUGUGCAGGCUUCGAUUACCCUGUGAGCCUGCUGCGUUGCUGCCCUGUGCACUCUCACCAAAC